rnacentral:tRNA from 1 species
GCCUUCUUGGUGUAACAGUAGCACACUCGGCUCGUAUUCGAGGGGUCCAGGUUCGAACCCCGGCGAGGGCA